rnacentral:rRNA from 1 species
GUAGGUGGGCAAGCGUUGUCCGGAAUUAUGGGCGUAAAGCGCGCGCAGGUGGGUCUUUAAGUCUGAUGUGAAAGCCCCCGGGCUCAACCGGGGAGGGUCAUUGGAAACUGGGGAACUUGAGUGCAGGAGAGGAAAGUGGAAUUCCACGUGUAGCGGUGAAAUGCGUAGAUAUGUGGAGGAACACCAGUGGCGAAGGCGACUUUCUGGCCUGUAACUGACACUGAGGCGCGAAAGCGUGGGGAGCAAACAGGAUUAGAUACCCUGGUAGUCCACGCCGUAAACGAUGAGUGCUAAGUGUUGGGGGGGUUUCCGCCCCUCAGUGCUGCAGCUAACGCAUUAAGCACUCCGCCUGGGGAGUACGGUCGCAAGACUG